UACGUAGGGUGCAAGCGUUAAUCGGAAUUACUGGGCGUAAAGCGUGCGCAGGCGGUUUUGUAAGUCUGACGUGAAAUCCCCGGGCUCAACCUGGGAAUUGCGUUGGAGACUGCAAGGCUAGAAUCUGGCAGAGGGGGGUAGAAUUCCACGUGUAGCAGUGAAAUGCGUAGAGAUGUGGAGGAACACCGAUGGCGAAGGCAGCCCCCUGGGUCAAGAUUGACGCUCAUGACA
rnacentral:rRNA from 1 species